rnacentral:rRNA from 1 species
AUACGAAGGGGGCAAGCGUUGUUCGGAAUAACUGGGCGUAAAGCGCACGUAGGCGGAUUGAUCAGUUAGAGGCGAAAUCCCAGGGCUCAACCCUGAAACUGCCUUUAAUACUGUCAGUCUAGAGAUCGAGAGAGGUGAGUGGAAUUCCGAGUGUAGAGGUGAAAUUCGUAGAUAUUCGGAGGAACACCAGUGGCGAAGGCGGCUCACUGGCUCGAUACUGACGCUGAGGUGCGAAAGCGUGGGGAGCAAACAGGAUUAGAAACCCUAGUAGUCC